GCCUGGGUGACUCAGUUGGUUCAGUGUCUGACUUCAGCUCAGGUCAUGAUCUCACGGUUCGUGAGUUCAAGCCCCACAUCAGGCU
rfam:Felis catus isolate Cinnamon breed Abyssinian chromosome C2, whole genome shotgun sequence.